rfam:Dipodomys ordii contig_31006, whole genome shotgun sequence.
GGUGGCUCAGUGGUAGAGCACUUGCCUUGCAUGUAUGAAGCCCUGGGUUCAAUUCCUCAGCACCA